UCACUGCGGGUAACUAGGAGAAACCUCCCCAUCCCUAGCUUUAGGGCGGAACCGUGAACACCGGCUGUGGCCAGUGAGGAGGAACCUGCAUCACAUCCUGGAAGUUCCAUCGUCAUGAGCUUGUGUCUCCAAAGGCCAUGCUGCUGCUUCAUCAGCUGCAGGAUGGCGGGAGGUGCCAGUGAAGACUGGGCAGAGUUCCUGACUCUGGGUUAGGGUUGGCCGUGGAGUAAGGAGCAAGUUUUUGCAGAUGGGCAAGGAGGCUGGCUGCAUCUGGACUUCCACAGGCCCUGGACUCCCGCAGACCCCAGGCUCCUGCAGACCCCAGACUCCCGCAGACCCCAGGCUCCUGCAGACCCCGGACUCCCACAGACCCCAGGCUCCUGCAGAC